rnacentral:rRNA from 1 species
AAACUUUCAACAACGGAUCUCUUGGCUCUGGCAUCGAUGAAGAACGCAGCGAAAUGCGAUAAGUAAUGUGAAUUGCAGAAUUCAGUGAAUCAUCGAAUCUUU